rnacentral:rRNA from 1 species
AAUUCGCCCUUAGAGUUUGAUCCUGGCUCAGGACGAACGCUGGCGGCGUGCCUAACACAUGCAAGUCGAACGGAACUUUUUUUAAUUGAUUUCUUCGGAAUGAUUUUGAUUAAGUUUAGUGGCGGACGGGUGAGUAACGCGUGAGUAACCUGCCUCUGAGAGGGGAAUAACAUUCUGAAAAGAAUGCUAAUACCGCAUAACAUAUAUUUAUCGCAUGGUAGAUAUAUCAAAGAUUUAUCGCUCAGAGAUGGACUCGCGUCCGAUUAGUUAGUUGGUGAGGUAACGGCUCACCAAGACCGCGAUCGGUAGCCGGACUGAGAGGUUGAACGGCCACAUUGGGACUGAGACACGGCCCAGACUCCUACGGGAGGCAGCAGUGGGGGAUAUUGCGCAAUGGGGGAAACCCUGACGCAGCAACGCCGCGUGAAGGAUGAAGGUCUUCGGAUUGUAAACUUCUUUUAUUAAGGACGAAGAAAGUGACGGUACUUAAUGAAUAAGCUCCGGCUAACUACGUGCCAGCAGCCGCGGUAAUACGUAGGGAGCAAGCGUUGUCCGGAUUUACUGGGUGUAAAGGGUGCGUAGGCGGCUUUGCAAGUCAGAUGUGAAAUCUAUGGGCUCAACCCAUAGCCUGCAUUUGAAACUGCAGAGCUUGAGUGAAGUAGAGGCAGGCGGAAUUCCCCGUGUAGCGGUGAAAUGCGUAGAGAUGGGGAGGAACACCAGUGGCGAAGGCGGCCUGCUGGGCUUUAACUGACGCUGAGGCACGAAAGCGUGGGUAGCAAACAGGAUUAGAUACCCUGGUAGUCCACGCUGUAAACGAUGAUUUACUAGGUGUGGGGGGUCUGACCCCUUCC